UUGAUUGAAACCAAAUUAGAGGUAUAUUACUGUUAAUAAUAUAAUUGAAUUACCUAUUCCAAUCAAG
rnacentral:tRNA from 1 species